rnacentral:tRNA from 1 species
GGGCGGUUAGCUCAGUGGUAGAGCUCCAGUCUUACAAACUGGAGGCCGUUGGUUCGAAUCCAUCACCGCCCA